rnacentral:lncRNA from 1 species
ACCUGGGAGGCUGCAAACUGUGGAAGCUGUACGCACGGUGUAGCAGACUAGUGGUUAGAGGAGACCCCUCCCAUGACACAACGCAGCAGCGGGGCCCGAGCACUGAGGGAAGCUGUACCUCCUUGCAAAGGACUAGAGGUUAGAGGAGACCCCCCGCAAACAAAAACAGCAUAUUG